AUUGAACGCUGGCGGCAGGCCUAACACAUGCAAGUCGAGCGGAUGAAGGGAGCUUGCUCCUGGAUUCAGCGGCGGACGGGUGAGUAAUGCCUAGGAAUCUGCCUGGUAGUGGGGGAUAACGUCCGGAAACGGGCGCUAAUACCGCAUACGUCCUGAGGGAGAAAGUGGGGGAUCUUCGGACCUCACGCUAUCAGAUGAGCCUAGGUCGGAUUAGCUAGUUGGUGGGGUAAAGGCCUACCAAGGCGACGAUCCGUAACUGGUCUGAGAGGAUGAUCAGUCACACUGUAACAGAGACACGGCCCAGACACCUACGGGAGGCAGCGGUGGGGAAUAUUGGACAAUGGACGAGAGCCUGAUCCAGCCAUGCCGGGUGUGUGAAGAAGGUCUUCGGAUUGUAAAGCACUUUAGGUUGGGAGGAAGGGCAGUAAGUUAAUACCUUACUGUUUUGACGUUACCAACAGAAUAAGCACCGGCUAACUUCGUG
rnacentral:rRNA from 1 species